GUGCUUUCUUCAGCAGCAUAUAUACUAAAAUUGGAAAAAUAUGGAGAUUAGCUUGGCCCCUACAUGAGGAUGACAUUCAAAUUUGUAAAGCUUUCCAUAUUUUU